rnacentral:rRNA from 1 species
ACUCCUACGGGAGGCAGCAGUGGGGAAUAUUGCACAAUGGGCGCAAGCCUGAUGCAGCCAUGCCGCGUGUAUGAAGAAGGCCUUCGGGUUGUAAAGUACUUUCAGCAGUGAGGAAGGUGGGUAUGUUAAUAGCAUAUUCAUUUGACGUUAGCUGCAGAAGAAGCACCGGCUAACUCCGUGCCAGCAGCCGCGGUAAUACGGAGGGUGCGAGCGUUAAUCGGAAUUACUGGGCGUAAAGCGCAUGCAGGUGGUUUGUUAAGUCAGAUGUGAAAGCCCGGGGCUCAACCUCGGAAUUGCAUUUGAAACUGGUAAACUAGAGUACUGUAGAGGGGGUAGGAAUUUCAGGUGUAGCGGUGAAAUGCGUAGAGAUCUGAAGGAAUACCGGUGGCGAAGGCGGCCCCUGGACGAGAUACUGACACUCAGAUGCGAAAGCGUGGGAGCAAACAGGAUUAGAUACCCCUGGUAGCGACUGA